rnacentral:rRNA from 1 species
UAACAUGCAGUCGAACGAGAAAGAGUCCUUCGGGGCUCGAGUAAAGUGGCGNANGGNGNGAGUAACACGUGGAUAAUCUGCCCUGCAGUUGGGAANAACCCACCGAAAGGUGUGCUAAUACCGAAUAAUGCUGACGGACCUCGGUUUGUCAGCCAAAGAGAGCCUCUGCUUGCAAGCCCUCGCUGUGGGAUGAGUCCGCGCACCAUUAGCUUGUUGGUAGGGUAAUGGCCUACCAAGGCUGUGAUGGUUAGCUGGUCUGAGAGGAUGAUCAGCCACACUGGAACUGAGACACGGUCCAGACUCCUACGGGAGGCAGCAGUGAGGAAUCUUGCGCAAUGGGGGAAACCCUGACGCAGCAACGCCGCGUGAGUGAGGAAGGUCUUCGGAUCNUAAAGCUCUGUCAGUUGGAAAGAAACGCCUGUAUGUUAAUACCCUGCAGGUUUGACGGUACCAACAGAGGAAGCACCGGCUAACUCCGUGCCAGCAGCCGCGGUAAUACGGGGGGUGCAAGCGUUGUUCGGAAUUAUUGGGCGUAAAGAGCGUGUAGGCGGCCUGAUGUGUCAGAUGUGAAAGCCCUGGGCUUAACCCAGGAAGUGCAUUUGAAACUGUCAGGCUUGAGUAGGGGAGGGGGAAGCGGAAUUCCUGGUGUAGAGGUGAAAUUCGUAGAUAUCAGGAGGAACACCGGUGGCGAAGGCGGCUUCCUGGCCCUAUACUGACGCUGAGACGCGAGAGCGUGGGUAGCAAACAGGAUUAGAUACCCUGGUAGUCCACGCCGUAAACAAUGUUCACU